rnacentral:rRNA from 1 species
GACGAACGCUGGCGGCGUGCUUAACACAUGCAAGUCGAACGAAGUGGCGAACGGGUGAGUCACGCGUAAUCCACCUGCCCUUCAGAGGGGGACAACAGUUGGAAACGACUGCUACUACCGCAUACUUAAGGUGGGGAUUGCGUCUGAUUCGCUAGUUGGCGGGGUAACGGCCCACCAAGGCGAUGAUCAGUAGGCGGUCUGAGAGGAUGAACGGGCCCAAUGGGGCUGAGACACGGCCCAGACUCCCACGGGAGGCAGCAGGGGGGAAUCGUCCGCAAUGGAGGAAAGGCUGACGGAGCAACGCCGCGGGAGGGAUGACGGCCUUCGGGUUGUAAAGCUCUGUUAAUCGGGACGCGGUACCGGAAUAGAAAGCCACGGCUAACUACGUGCCAGCAGCCGCGGUAAUAC